ensembl:lncRNA
CACCACCUUGGUUUAGAUCAGUGGGGAAACCACCAACCUGGAUGAAAGUUGGCCUAUUGUAAGAAGAAGCACUUAAUCUCCUCAGAGAAGGGGCUUCAGAAUUUGCUCUACCAACACUUGACUGAAACAUCUGUGUAUUUUUGGAUGUGUUUUCUGUCCAAACUGUUGGUAUGUAUUUAUUUGUGCAUGUUUGUAUGUUUGAGAGUGCAUGCUCAAUUGCUGCAGAAUGAAUGGGUGGUUUAGAUUCUUUGAGUUUAGGAAUGCAAAACUUGGAAUCAUGCUACUGUUUUUUAGGUCUGAAUGAAGUCUUAAAAGAAUUAUUAAAUUAUAUUGAAGUGACUGGGGGCCUUUAUAGCUUGUUAAACUACUAAAAAGACAGAAAAAAAAAAAUGCUAAAGUUUUCUCUGAUUUCAGAUCAUCUCAUAUUCUCAUUGCUACCCAAUGUAACUGCAAUCCCUUUCUGAAAAGUAAACAUUAUAAUACAGCUCACAGAAUGAAUGUUUUAAAAAUAACCCUAUAGAUGGUGUAUGCUAUAUUUACUAUAGAAAUUGAAAUUGCAAAGGUUUCUGAAUCUCCCAAGCCCCCACAUUAUGUAUUUUCUUUGUGCUAGGUUGAAAUACAGGAGACCAUUUUCUAGUAUGCUAUGAAUGAGAAAUACUCCAGAUGAAAGAAGAUUAUUAUACUUGCCUUCAGGCUCGGAGAAUAGAUUGCUGCUAAACCUAGUGAAGACUCCCCCUGUUAAUCCUUCAGACCUGGAUGUAAGAAGCUCACAAGAACAUGAACCAGAAUGCUACAAAUUUUAUCUUCUUUAUAGGUCUGUUAUAUGGCUUAUCCAGCAGAAGUUCUUCUGUAUAAAGCAAGCAAAUGAAAUGCAGACUUCUGCUGUUACACCACACUGGUACCCUUAUAAGGUCACUUAAUAGGUAACAGAAAACAUUUUGACAGUCACAGAUUAUUUCCAUUGGAAAAGCAGCACUUGUUGUAAGAUAAGGUUGUAGUUCAGAACCAGACUCCUCUAGACAGGAAGAAACUAAGCCAAAUCUAAAAGAGAACUACAAAAUUCAGUGAAAUCCACAAGGUGACAUUAAAGGAAUUGUUAUAUUUUUAUGAUUUUGCUUCUUAAUUUGCAUGGUGAUGGGUAUGAAGUGACAAAAAUCCCAACUUACUAUCUGUUCUGCCUCUCCCUUGAUGAAUUUAUGCACGUAGGAUAAAUGUAGACUUAGCAUAACAAUAAUGCCACUAUUCUUUCCCAUGUCCCAGGUCUAAAAUUCCAGCAAAAUUGCACAGGAAUUUCACAAGAUAGGAUUUUUGGAUUUGACCAUUUCAUUGUGUCCAUAUUUAUAGCUGAAUUGUAUUUUUUUUCCAAAAAAGUGUAACACAAAUUAUUACAAAAUGGAAACAAAGCAGUAAUCUGUUGUAUUGUUGCUACUCUAGAGCACACCCACUAGUUUUUCCUUAUGAGCUAGUCCUUUUGAGUUUUUACAACAUAUUUCCACUAAGCACAUCUAUUGCUGCUGAAUCUAUCUUUGAUGUUACUGGAAUUCUUCACAUUAAAUGAGUCAAAGUUUCAAAGCUGUAGUUACCUGUGGAGACUGGUACAAUUCAUUUCAUACAUUUACUGCUCAUUAGCACGUGUAUGAAGCAGUUUCUUGCACCUUGUAUAUCUGUAAUGAAUAUUAAACCAUCUCAUCUACUCAUAAUAAUAUAAUAGCUCCUGUGAUGACAGACUCUGUUUGCACAGGAAGCAGAUGUUGAUGUUUACCUAGAUGUAAUUUGCAAUGAUGAGUGGUGGUGAGAUGAGGUUUUUUCCUGCCAAAACAAUUCAGUCUAUGUUAAGCUUCUGCAAAAUCUUUUGCAUGCCAUUGUGGACUCUUAGGUCAUUAUAGAUAUCCAUAUUAUCACAUAUUAUCACCUUGAAUAAUUGUGGAUCUUAAUUUUAAUAUUAAUCAAGAUAUUAAAUUAUGCAUAUAAGAAAACUGUUUAGUUAAAGAGGUAUUUACCAAGUCGCUGUAAUGUGAUGUCCAGGAAAAGUUCUGGGUAAACUUCAAACCAAAGAUGAAAAUAGUAUUUUUCAGGGUCAUAAAUGUAUUUCUGACAAAUAAAUAUGGUAUAAAUUAUUCA